rnacentral:rRNA from 1 species
CGUGGUUAACCUGCCCUUGGGACGGAAACACCCCCGGGAAACUGGGGCUAAUUUCCGAUAGGUGAAGACUCCUGGAAUGGAUCUUCGCCUAAAGGGCGCUUAGGCCGUGCUUCUAAGCGCUGCCCAAGGAUGGGACCGCGGCCGAUCAGGUUGUUGGUGAGGUAAUGGCUCACCAAGCCUUUAACCGGUUCGGGCCGUGGGAGCGGGAGCCCGGAGAUGGGCACUGAGACAAGGGCCCAGGUCCUACGGGGCGCAGCAGUCGCGAAAACUCCGCAAUACGCGAAGGCGUGACGGGGCUAUCCCGAGUGCCGUCCGCUGAGGAUGGCUUUUCCCCAGUGUAGAUAGCUGGGGGAAUAAGGAGAGGGCAAGUCUGGUGUCAGCCGCCGCGGUAAUACCAGCUCUCCGAGUGGUGGGGACGUUUAUUGGGCCUAAAGCAUCCGUAGCCAGCUGAGCAAGUCCCCAGUUAAAUCCAGCGAUUUAAUCGUUGGACUGCUGGGGAUACUGUCCGGCUAGGGGGUGGGAGAGGCCGACGGUAUUCCCGGGGUAGGGGUGAAAUCCUAUAAUCCCGGGAGGACCACCAGUGGCGAAGGCUGUUGGCUAAAACAUGCCCGACGGUGAGGGAUGAAAGCUGGGGGAGCGAACCGGAUUAGAUACCCGGGUAGUCCCAGCUGU